GACGAACGCUGGCGGCGUGCUUAACACAUGCAAGUCGAACGGAAAGGCCCUGCUUUUGUGGGGUGCUCGAGUGGCGAACGGGUGAGUAACACGUGAGUAACCUGCCCUUGACUUUGGGAUAACUUCAGGAAACUGGGGCUAAUACCGGAUAGGAGCUCCUGCUGCAUGGUGGGGGUUGGAAAGUUUCGGCGGUUGGGGAUGGACUCGCGGCUUAUCAGCUUGUUGGUGGGGUAGAGGCUUACCAAGGCUUUGACUGGUAGCCGGCCUGAGAGGGUGACCGGCCACAUUGGGACUGGGAUACGGCCCAGACUGCUACGGGAGGCAGCAGUGGGGAAUAUUGCACAAUGGGCGGAAGCCUGAUGCAGCAACGCCGCGUGCGGGAUGACGGCCUUCGGGUUGUAAACCGCUUUCGCCUGUGACGAAGCGUGAGUGACGGUAAUGGGUAAAGAAGCACCGGCUAACUACGUG
rnacentral:rRNA from 1 species